rnacentral:rRNA from 1 species
UGGGGAAUAUUGCACAAUGGGCGCAAGCCUGAUGCAGCCAUGCCGCGUGUAUGAAGAAGGCCUUCGGGUUGUAAAGUACUUUCAGCGGGGAGGAAGGGAGUAAAGUUAAUACCUUUGCUCAUUGACGUUACCCGCAGAAGAAGCACCGGCUAACUCCGUGCCAGCAGCCGCGGUAAUACGGAGGGUGCAAGCGUUAAUCGGAAUUACUGGGCGUAAAGCGCACGCAGGCGGUUUGUUAAGUCAGAUGUGAAAUCCCCGGGCUCAACCUGGGAACUGCAUCUGAUACUUGAAAGCUUGAGUCUCGGAGAGGGGGGUAGAAUUCCAGGUGUAGCGGUGAAAUGCGUAGAAAUCUGGAGGAAUACCGGUGGAGAAGGCGGCCCCCUGGACGAAGACUGACGCUCAGGUGCGAAAGCGUGGGGAGCAAACAGG